rnacentral:rRNA from 1 species
GAUCCUGGCUCAGGAUGAACGCUAGCGGCAGGCUUAACACAUGCAAGUCGUGGGGUAACAGAUGAACAGAUCCUUCGGGUGACGAUCAUGCUGACGACCGGCGCACGGGUGAGUAACGCGUAUGCAACCUGCCCCUGACAGGAGGAUAGCCCUAGGAAACUGGGAUUAAUACUCCAUGUAUUAUCAAGUAGGCAUCUAUUACAUAAUAAAGCUACGGCGGUCAGGGAUGGGCAUGCGUGCCAUUAGUUAGUUGGUGAGGUAACGGCUCACCAAGGCAUCGAUGGCUAGGGGUUCUGAGAGGAUGAUCCCCCACACUGGUACUGAGACACGGACCAGACUCCUACGGGAGGCAGCAGUGAGGAAUAUUGGUCAAUGGGCGCAAGCCUGAACCAGCCAUGCCGCGUGCAGGAUGACUGUUCUAUGAAUUGUAAACUGCUUUUCUGCGGGAAGAAAUGUACCUACGUGUAGGUAUUUGCCGGUACUGCAGGAAUAAGCAUCGGCUAACUCCGUGCCAGCAGCCGCGGUAAUACGGAGGAUGCAAGCGUUAUCCGGAUUCAUUGGGUUUAAAGGGUGCGCAGGCGGUGUAUUAAGUCAGUGGUGAAAUGCUGCGGCUCAACCGUAGACUUGCCAUUGAUACUGGUACACUUGAAUGUAGUUGAGGUAGGCGGAAUGUGUAAUGUAGCGGUGAAAUGCUUAGAUAUUACACAGAACACCGAUUGCGAAGGCAGCUUACUAAACUAUGAUUGACGCUGAGGCCACGAAAGCGUGGGGAGCGAACAGGAUUAGAUACCCUGGUAGUCCACGGCUGUAAACUAUGAUCACUGGUUGUUGGCAAUAUACCGUCAGCGACUGAGCGAAAGCAUUAAGUGAUCCACCCUGGGAAGUACGUCGGCGACGAUGCAACUCGAAGGAAUCGACGGCGCGCCAGCACAAGCAGGAGGAACAUGGUGUUAUAAUUCGAUGAUACGCGAGCAACAUCACCGGGGCUAAAAUGUAGACACAAUAGAGAGACAACAUUCUCCUCCGGCGGGACUCUCAACAAGCUGCAGCAUGGUCGUCAUCACCUUCCCCACGGGAGCGGUCGGAGUAACUCCCAGUGACGAGCGCAACCCUUGUCGUUAGUGGAGAGCAGGUCAAGCUGAGGACUCUGACGAGACGGCCGGUGUAACAGAGAGGAAGGUGGGGAUGACAUCAAAUCAGCACGGCCCUUAUGUCCAGGACUACACACGUGUUACAA